GAUGAACGCUGGCGGCGUGCCUAAUACAUGCAAGUCGAGCGAACAGACGAGGAGCUUGCUCCUCUGACGUUAGCGGCGGACGGGUGAGUAACACGUGGAUAACCUACCUAUAAGACUGGGAUAACUUCGGGGAACCGGAGCUAAUACCGGAUCAUAUAUUGAACCGCAUGGUUCAAUAGUGAAUGACGGUUUUGCUGUCACUUAUAGAUGGUUCCGCGCCGCAUUAGCUAGUUGGUAAGGUAACGGCUUACCAAGGCGACGAUGCGUAGCCGAUCUGAGAGGGUGAUCGGCCACACUGGAACUGAGACACGGUCCAGACUCCUACGGGAGGCAGCAGUAGGGAAUCUUCCGCAAUGGGCGAAAGCCUGACGGAGCAACGCCGCGUGAGUGAUGAAGGUCUUCGGAUCGUAAAGCUCUGUUAUUGGGGAAGAACAAAUGUGUAAGUAUCUAUGCACGUCUUGACGGUACCUAAUCAGAAAGCCACGGCUAACUACGUG
rnacentral:rRNA from 1 species